rnacentral:rRNA from 1 species
GAUGAACGCUGGCGGCGUGCCUAAUACAUGCAAGUCGAGCGAACAGACGAGGAGCUUGCUCCUCUGACGUUAGCGGCGGACGGGUGAGUAACACGUGGAUAACCUACCUAUAAGACUGGGAUAACUUCGGGAAACCGGAGCUAAUACCGGAUAAUAUAUUGAACCGCAUGGUUCAAUAGUGAAAGACGGUUUUGCUGUCACUUAUAGAUGGAUCCGCGCCGCAUUAGCUAGUUGGUGAGGUAACGGCUUACCAAGGCGACGAUGCGUAGCCGACCUGAGAGGGUGAUCGGCCACACUGGAGCUGAGACACGGUCCAGACUCCUACGGGAGGCAGCAGUAGGGAAUCUUCCGCAAUGGGCGAAAGCCUGACGGAGCAACGCCGCGUGAGUGAUGAAGGUCUUCGGAUCGUAAAACUCUGUUAUUAGGGAAGAACAAAUGUGUAAGUAACUAUGCACGUCUUGACGGUACCUAAUCAGAAAGCCACGGCUAACUACGUG